rnacentral:lncRNA from 1 species
UUCUUAGUGCCUGCUGGAAUACUACAGGAUUUUCUUUAGCCAUCCGGAGUUCCUGCCUUCGUCCCAGUGUCAGUGAAGACGAAGGUGGAAGAAUUUCCAGUGUUGCUGAGAACCGGACAAAACUUCGGCUGAGAAACGGACGAGACUUCGGAGCUGUUGCUGUUUCUGCUGCUACAGCUUAGGCUAGCUGCCUGCAGAAAUUACCUGGACUGUGAUUUAAGCUAGCUGCCUGCAGAACUUACCUGGACUGUGAUUUAAGCUAG